AAUCAACGCUGGCGGCGUGCCUCAGACAUGCAAGUCGAACGAUUAAAGCUCUCUUCGGAGAGUGUAUAGAGUGGCGCACGGGUGAGUAACACGUAAGUAAUCUACCUUCGAGUGGGGAAUAACACCGAGAAAUCGGUGCUAAUACCGCAUAAUGCAGCGGCAUCGCAAGAUGACAGUUGUUAAAGAUUUAUCGCUUGAAGAGGAGCUUGCGGCAGAUUAGCUAGUUGGUAAGGUAAUGGCUUACCAAGGCUACGAUCUGUAACCGGUCUAAGAGGACGGUCGGUCACACUGACACUGAAUAACGGGUCAGACUCCUACGGGAGGCAGCAGUCGGGAAUUUUGGGCAAUGGGCGAAAGCCUGACCCAGCAACGCCGCGUGAAGGAUGAAGUAUUUCGGUAUGUAAAACUUCGAAAGAUAGGAAGAAUAAAUGACGGUACUAUUUAUAAGGUCGGCUAACUACGUGCC
rnacentral:rRNA from 1 species